CUUGAAUGUAUUUGUGUCUGAAAGUGUAAGGCGUUGAUCUGCAAGUAGUCCUGUGGCCAGCUGUAGAAACGGUACAAGAAUUAGAGAGAUAUACAACAGAGGGAGCUCUCGUGAUCGAUUAACUCACAUUGCGGAUAGGUCUGCGGAUCGGCUGGCCUUUCUUUAGCAUCGAGGAACGCCUUUGCGAAAGGAUUGUAUUUAAUCUUCAAAUUUGUAACUUCUUCGUUCUGGUAGGCCGUCACCGCUAUGAAUUGUGUCUCGGGAUAACGCGCGUCACGACGAAAUUACAAACCUCGGAGGAAUUUAGAAGAGAUAUCGUACCGUUCGUUCUUCCACCGCGUCCACGCGAACCAGAUGAAUUCGAGGCUCGUAUUUAUGCAGGGAGUUUAGCAUAAUUUGCCCGUUCCCG